CCUACGGGUGGCAGCAGUGAGGAAUAUUGGUCAAUGGACGAGAGUCUGAACCAGCCAAGCAGCGUGUAGGAUGACUGCCCUAUGGGUUGUAAACUUCUUUUAUAUGGGAGUAAAAUGUUCCACGUGUGGGAUUUUGUAUGUACCAUAUGAAUAAGGAUCGGCUAACUCCGUGCCAGCAGCCGAGGUAAUACGGAGGGUCCGAGCGUUAUCCGGAUUUAUUGGGUGUAAAGGGAGCGUAGGUGGCAUGUUAAGUCAGUUGUGAAAGUGUGCGGCUCAACCGUAGAAUUGCAGUUGAAACUGGCAGUCUUGAGUACAGUAGAGGUGGGCGGAAUUCGUGGUGUAGCGGUGAAAUGCUUAGAUAGUAGGAAGAACUCCGGUUGCGAAGGCGGUUCACUGGACUGCAACUGACACUGAGGCUCGAAAGUGUGGGUAUCAAACAGGAUUAGAUACCCUUGUAGUC
rnacentral:rRNA from 1 species